rnacentral:rRNA from 1 species
GACAGAGGCCCCAAGCGUUAGGCGGAAUCACUGGGCUUAAAGCGUGUGUAGGCGGACGCCUAAGUGUCUUGUGAAAUCCCUCGGCUCACCCGUGGAACUGCUGGGCAUACUGGGCGUCUUGGGCCAACUAGGGGCAGCCGGAACAAGCGGUGGAGCGGUGAAAUGCGUAGAUAUCGCUUGGAACGCCGAAGGUGAAAACAGGCUGCUGGGGUUGCGCCGACGCUGAGACACGAAAGCCAGGGGAGCAAACGGGG